AAAUCACAUAUAAAUAUUCUCUUGAACGCGAACGAAGCCCUCCCCUUCUCCUGGAUCUCCCUUCCCGUCGUAACAGCUUCGCGGGAGGGUAUCUUCCUUCACUCCCAAAUCUUGAUCCCAUCCUCUCCAUCGGAAAACCACUCGCUCGCAAGAAUACCACCAGCGGUUUUCCGGCCAUCAGACCCUAGCCUUUGAGAGGAAACAGCAGCAGGAGAGGCAGUAAACAUGGCGGUUGGUAAGAACAAGAGGAUUUCUAAGGGUAAGAAGGGAGGGAAGAAGAAAGCUGUUGAUCCUUUUGCGAAGAAGGAUUGGUAUGAUAUCAAGGCUCCAUCAGUGUUCAAUACGAGGAACAUUGGGAAAACCCUGGUCUCAAGGACUCAAGGAACCAGGGUGAGUUUGGAUAUUUAUUU